rnacentral:rRNA from 1 species
UACGAAGGUGGCAAGCGUUGUUCGGAUUCAUUGGGCGUAAAGGGUGCGUAGGCGGCGCGGUAAGUCGGGUGUGAAAUCUUGGAGCUUAACUCCGAAACUGCAUUCGAUACUGCCGUGCUUGAGGACUGGAGAGGAGACUGGAAUUUACGGUGUAGCGGUGAAAUGCGUAGAUAUCGGGAGGAACACCAGUAGCGAAGGCGACACUCUGGGCCGAUACUGACGCUGAGGAGCGAAAGCGUGGGGAGCGAACAGG